AGGGCCUGAACUAAUGGGGUAUAACUUACAGUCGGACGGGUGAGUCACACGUGGUUAACCUACCUAUAAGACUGGGAUAACUUCGGGAAACCGGAGCUAAUACCGGAUAAUAUAUUGAACCGCAUGGUUCAAUAGUGAAAGACGGUUUUGCUGUCACUUAUAGAUGGAUCCGCGCCGCAUUAGCUAGUUGGGAAGGUAACGGCUUACCAAGGCAACGAUGCGUAGCCGACCUGAGAGGGUGAUCGGCCACACUGGAACUGAGACACGGUCCAGACUCCUACGGGAGGCAGCAGUAGGGAAUCUUCCGCAAUGGGCGAAAGCCUGACGGAGCAACGCCGCGUGAGUGAUGAAGGUCUUCGGAUCGUAAAACUCUGUUAUUAGGGAAGAACAAAUGUGUAAGUAACUAUGCACGUCUUGACGGUACCUAAUCAGAAAGCCUCGGUUAACUACGUGCCACCAGCCGCGGAAAUACGUAGGGGGCAAGCGUUAUCCGGAAUUAUUGGGCGUAAAGCGCGCGCAGGCGGUUUUUUAAGUCUGAUGAGAAAGCCCCACGGCUUAACCGGUGGGAGGGUCAUUGGAUGACGGGAAAACUUGAGUGGAAAAAGAGGAAAGGGUACAUUCUACUGUGUUAGCGGGUU
rnacentral:rRNA from 1 species